rnacentral:rRNA from 1 species
AGAAUCAACGCUGGCGGCGUGCCUAACACAUGCAAGUCGCACGAGAAAGGGACUUCGGUCCUGAGUACAGUGGCGCACGGGUGAGUAACACGUGAAUAAUCUACCUCCGAGUGGGGAAUAACUGAGAGAAAUCUUAGCUAAUACCGCAUAACACUUACGAGUCAAAGCAGCAAUGCGCUUGGAGAGGAGUUCGCGGCAGAUUAGUUAGUUGGCGGGGUAAUGGCCCACCAAGACGAUGAUCUGUAUCCGGCCUGAGAGGGCGCACGGACACACUGGAACUGAAACACGGUCCAGACUCCUACGGGAGGCAGCAGUGGGGAAUUUUGCGCAAUGGGGGAAACCCUGACGCAGCAACGCCGCGUGGAGGAUGAAGCCCCUUGGGGUGUAAACUCCUUUCGAUCGGGAAGAUAAUGACGGUACCGAUAUAAGAAGCCCCGGCUAACUUCGUGCCAGCAGCCGC